GCAGACACAUUCCAGCCAAUCAGCAGCAGACCCUCCCUCCCAGACCCUCCCACCUCCUGGACAGCAUCCAUUGUGAAGCUGCAUUCUUAGUGAGCUGUCCAGGAGGUGGGAGGGUCUGGGAGGGAGGGUCUGUUGCUGAUUGGCUGGAAUGUGUCUG